rnacentral:misc_RNA from 1 species
AAGUCGUAACAAGGUUUCCGUAGGUGAACCUGCGGAAGGAUCAUUACCAAAUUUUCCCAUACUAUUUAACCAACCACCUUUGUGUGAACCGGUCUGUUUCUGACUGCAUUUGGCCCUCUCGCUUCGUGCUGGAGGGCCAAGUGUCUGUUAACACCCUGUCAACCUUUAUUCUCUACUGUACGCGAUGCAUUUUAAUACAAAUGACAACUUUUAACGGUGGAUCUCUUGGCUCGC